rnacentral:rRNA from 1 species
UAACAUAAGUAACCUGCCCUAGACAGGGGGAUAACUACUGGAAACGAUAGCUAAGACCGCAUAGGUACGGACACUGCAUGGUGACCGUAUUAAAAGUGCCUCAAAGCACUGGUAGAGGAUGGACUUAUGGCGCAUUAGCUGGUUGGCGGGGUAACGGCCCACCAAGGCGACGAUGCGUAGCCGACCUGAGAGGGUGACCGGCCACACUGGGACUGAGACACGGCCCAG